rnacentral:rRNA from 1 species
CUUAAUGUCUUGUAAUUGGAAUGAUGGGAAUUUAAACCUCUUCCAGAGUAUCAAUUGGAGGGCAAGUCUGGUGCCAGCAGCCGCGGUAAUUCCAGCUCCAAUAGCGUAUAUUAAAAUUGUUGCAGUUAAAAAGCUCGUAGUUGAAUUUCUGCUGCAUUACAUAUCUCUUGUUUGAGUUUGUUUUUGUGGCUUAUUUCGGUUUGAUUUUUUCUUUCCGGAUGAUUACUUUGAGAAAAUUAGAGUGCUCAAAGCAGGCUUUUGCCUUGAAUAGUUUAGCAUGGAAUAAUAAAGUAGGACUUUGGUUCUAUUUUGUUGGUUUUAGGUACCAAAGUAAUGGUUAAUAGGAACAGUUGGGGGCAUUCGUAUUUAACUGUCAGAGGUGAAAUUCUUAGAUUUGUUAAAGACGAACUACUGCGAAAGCAUUUGCCAAGGAUGUUUUCAUUAAUCAAGAACGAA